CCCUUCUUGAAGCUUUUCCCUGUGAGCCUGGAUUCUUCUGAUACAGAUCACUUGGUGCUUUCAGGAUAAGGAAAUGUUUCUAAGGAGGAAGUUGGUGAAAGAAAGCAGCAAAACACCCUUCCUUAAAGCGUCCCUGUUUUCAUGCAGUUCCAGAGGAAGCCUUAACAGAAGAGUUUGUAGAAAGCAUGACAGAAACCCACUUGAGAACAUUCUCUCCUGCAGAUGUUGUCAUCCCAAGGCAUUUGGGGAGGAACAGAAGAGCCUAACAUUUCUGGCCUACAAAUUAGAACAAGCUGCUUGAAGUCUGAUCAUUUAAUAAGCUAUGAGCACAGAAGUACUUGUAGAACUGAACAGACAGAAGAUCCCCUGGCAAACUACUACAUGGAAUCAUACUGAAUACUAAUGUAGCAACACAGAACUUGCUCAGAACAGAAAGAACAACACAUUUGCAGUCACUAAAAUAAUAAGCAAUUUAUUGUGAUUUUGCUAAUUAGAAAUAUUUCUAUUUCUAUGAUGACUAAUGUGAAAGUAGUUACAAAAUGCUACCGUUGCUAUUAAGAAUAGCUGGGUUAAUUUACUAAGGAGAUUUCUAGCAACUUCAGUUCAGUCGAAGUGCUAUCAUAAUAACACAGAGUAAUUUACUUAAACCUUUAUGCUGGCAUGCUGUCAAUAUGUUUUCACAGGACUUGACUCCUGACAGUCAGAAAAACAGUUUAUUUAAUUCACUCAGUUUUUUAGAAUGCUUAAAAGUGACAGCUCCUCUACAUGACCUUCAGUAUUAUAUUCAAUAUUUACCCUUUUUUCCCUUCCAAUUUUCUUUUCUUGUCCCCAUUAAAUCAAAGUAAGGUAGCAGAAAAUAACAAGGUCAGUGAUGGCUCUUACCCCAAAGAGUAAGAUCUACUCUCUUCUUGAAGUACUGUUGCUAAGGACUCUUCUCAGUUAGUGAGAAUACUUUAGGCAUCUUUCAUUCUUUCCAUUCUAAAAGUGGAGAAAAAGACCAACUGCCCUUGAAGCAGCAGGAAGUUCCGUCCCAGCUGCUAAGACAGACAGAGAUGAUAGCAGCAGGGGACCUCACUCACUCCAGCAGCUGGGAAACAUCUAUUUGGGUGUGUGGAUUGGACUUGUGUGACUAUUUGUGGAAUCUGUUUAUGUGCAGCUUAUGAAUCCUGCAUUGAUAUUUUGAAUCUGUUGCUAUUAAAUUUCUUGAGAACUGGAAUGCCAUGGUGGACCACAUCCAGACUUUAGGUGGACUUGAACUCUAACGAUGUCUCCCCAUUAUCUAUACAGGCAGCCUACUUAUAUGCAGACAUAACUCAUAAAUACAACAUGGUUGCCUUAAGGUAAGUAGAAAAAAACUGUGUCCUCAUUUGUUGCCAGAAUUUCUACCACAAGAUCAGGAACAAGGGCAGAUGGCUAACCUGAAUUUUGUCAGAACAAUUAGUGUGUUAAGGAGAUGAGGUUAAAAAUGCUGAUGAUCAGAGCAAAUAACUGAAAACAAACUUUUUUUAGUUCAGUCUUGCACUGGAAAGUGUAGUAUCUCUUGGAAGGUAGAUACAUGCAUGCUCUAUGGCAUAGGAUUCAGAGAAAAGAUGAUAACAUAUUUUCCAUUCAUCAAAGGCUUAUAUUUCAUAGUAGAGUUGUAUUAGAAAGGAGGGCUUUAUCUUGUGCUCAGUCUCUCAAAAUAUACUCUCAUCAGAAGAGAAUUUAUGGUAUUCAGGUACAUGCAGAGAUGAGAAAGGGCAACUGUAGGUGAGGGGCUGCUAUCACUCUCAAAGCACACAUUUUGACUUUGAAUCUUCUGAGGGAUUCUUUUUCUGUUAAAAACACUGUUUCUUUCAUUCUCCACUUCCAGAUUAAUUAGGUGCAGCACUUAUGUUGAUAACAACAGGAUUACAAGUUAGUUAUUUAUCUCUCUUUUCUUCUUACUCCACAUUGUUGCACACUGAAGCUGUUGUUUUAUUCAAAUUCACCUACCUUAGUAGUUAGCUUUGUAGGGGCCUUUCUUUCUCCUGCCUUUCAAACCUCAGUUAUCUAUUUAUCGCUCCAUCUCAGUCUCCACUUUUUCAGUAAGAACUCUGUUGGGCAGAAACUAUUUUUGGCUCCACAAAGUGCUGAACAGUCUAAAGGUGCUUGAGACAAGGAAUUUUUGAUUCUCUUGGGGUCAUGCUGUUACAGCAAUAUUAUAAUUUAUCAAAAUAUGAAAUCCAAAUCUCAGUUCAUUUAAAAAAAAAUGCAGCACAGAUGCCCAGUUGCAUGAAAUGUCUCAAACCACUUAUGAAUUUCUUACAGGAAUAUGUACUGACCUGUCAGAAUAAUAUUAUAUCUAAAAUUAUGAACACAGACACAUAAGUUAGAUCUCCCUAUUUAUUGUAUCUAAACAUCUCACCUUUUUACUGCAUUUUGCAGUAAAACAGAGGUUAUAUCAUUUUAUUGGUGAACUGAGCAAGAAAGUUUUGGCUUCAGUCCCAUGGUGACCAACAAUAAUUCCCCAAGUCACAACUUUCACAAUGUUCCUCAAUUUCAAGGUUACAUUAUAGACAGGAAAAAUAUCAGCCCCAUCUUUAUUCAGAUCAUCUUGAAUAAAAAAUUAUGGUAAUCAAUCCUUCUCUGAGCUCCAAUCCACAGUUUUCAAAGGAAAGGACUGUUUUAUAUUUAAAUAUUUCAGAUUUACAGACAUACUGAAAACACAUUUCAGAGAUUUAUUGCUCUUUUUUUCUUGCUGGUCUUAUGAAGAUGGGUCUGUGUUGCUGACACCACAAAGAUGUAAACACUCUGGAUAAGAAAUAAAGAGUAACCCCCAUCAAGAAUGAGAUCCAAGCCACAAGACCUAUAAAAUGAUUUUGGGUGUUGCAAUGCUAAAAGCAUGCUUGCUUGUAGACUGCUAAACUUGUUUUAGCAAGAAUUUGAACUGGACUUUCAAAAGUUUGUUGUAUGACAUGUACAGUACAGUUCUGUGCUCGUGCUCUCUGAAGAAUAUUUACAAGUUUUUAUCAACAAAAAAAUACAACAUAGAAAUUAAAUACUACAUGACUGCUUAUUUUCAUUUUGGUUUUUUCCCUCUUUCUCUUUCUUCAUUUUCUGCUUCAUUAUCCUUGCUUUUCCUCAGUUUUCCAUCUUAAAGUAUAUAUCUUUGCUCAAUUUUUCCCCUUUGUAGUGUCAGCUUUGAAUCUCUGCCUGGCAGACUGACUGGGAGCAGAGUUCCUGUGCCAUGUAUGAUGGCUGUGAGUACAGAACAAAGAUUCUUCAUAAUUUCAGAAGAACUGUGUACUUCGCCUUAAAAAAAAUGCAUGAACAGGUACUCCCCAAAAGAUUAUUUAUGUUUGACUUUUGCUUUAUGGGCACUGAAAAGAUUAGUGAACAUAAAAAAGCCUGAGGCAAUGUGUGCAAUGAUGAACAGAGAUAGAAGAAAGGGAAAAAAAGAGAGAGAGAAAGAGAGGAAAUCAGACUUACUAAUUAAAGUUGAUUAAUGAUCAAACUUCUAUUGUUUUGGGGACAACUCUAGGACAGUUUCAAAAAGAAGCAGUAAUGAAUUUUUAUUCCAGAAUCAUUCAGACAACUCAGCUGAAGUCAACAGGGUGGCUUCAUGAAAGCUUGUCUUAAAUAUCUUUUGGAUACCUCUUUGGCACUGUGAAAAGUAGUACACUUUCUCUCAGAUAAGGCUAUGCAUUGCUUCUUUACCAAUCUGGUAUAGUACUGAUGCUUCCAGAAUUGCAGAAAAUUCAGUAUUUUUCAAGAGCAACAUUUAAUUCCUAUGCUAAAAUAUGGCCAUUUCUUUAGCUUCAGAAAAACAGCUACUGCCCAGAACUUUGAUUUCCUCUCAGUCCACUGCAGCAUGAGAACUAGCACACUGUAUUGAGUUGAUGUUCUGUUCCUCCUAAAAGGAUUGCGCUGUAUAUUCUUCCUCUACUAAAACUAGAUGAUUUCGCUCCUGAUUAUGAGCAAGUAGAGUUUUCUUGCUUUCAGGAAACUGAAAAGAAGAUAAGCUUCAAAGACCGUGGUUAGCUUUAAAAAUGACCAGCUGGUAGUGAGGAUGAAAAGAAAAGCCUUUACUCCUGCCCCUUGUGUUUGGCCAGGGAGAGAAACUAUCCCUUCAAUCAAGCAUCACCUGCCCCAGCUUUCUUUAAACGGUACAUAGACAACUCAGCGGUACUGCUUGAUUGAGUCACCUACAACUGGCAUUACAAUUAGUACCAUUUGGGCUGUUUUUUCUUCCUAGUAAUGAACAGCUUUUCUUGCAAAGCACAGUCUAAUACUCUCUGUUCAGUACUGUGCCUAUUCUUGGAGCUUAACAAUCUCUUCUCAAGAUUUAUGUAAUCAAAUGGCAUCUGCUACAUUUCAAGAACAAAUAUGGGCUAUCCAACACUUUAAUUUAAAGAUGAUGCCUUCAGCUGUGUAAUACUAAAUAAUGUCAUGUGUCUGACAUACCCGUUAGAGCAUGUGGGAUACACCCUAUAAACAUGUUUUAAAUUAAUUUAUGCUUAUGGAGAAAAAAUUGCUUCCUUGCUUGUGAGAAUUUUUUAUUAUUAUUAAGGAAUUUCCUGGGCCAGACUUUUUUUAACUAUAGAGCAUGCUCAUUUGCCUGUUGUUGGAGAUAAGGUACAUCUGACUACGUAUUCACUCUGCAUGUCAAUAUCAUGCCAAGAUCUCAAAAGACAGGAUAAGGCAGAGAAAGGAUCAACUUCACAUUUUUGUAUUUUUUUUCUCAUGUCAUAGCAGAAUUUCACCUUGGUGCAACAUUCUUAGUACCGGCAUUAGUAAAUAAGGAUUAAAAUGAAGGUAGAGUGCAAAGCAGGAGUUGAAGGAAAUUUAAUAUAAAUGCCUUAUUUAUCCUACAUAGAUUGGUAGUUCUUUUAAGUAAAGAUACUUAUCCAUUUUAACAACUAUGGGGUUAACUCAGACUCCCUUUUGCCUCUUCUAGAUUGAGUAUCCCCAGGAAUGUGAUCAGAAGCCACUGAUCUUGAUUUUCAAAUGCUAAGAAGCAAAGGAAACAUUUGAGAAGAUGGGGUGGCUGUUGACUACCAAAUUCAGUCUACUUCUGAUAGCUUCUUAGAAUACAAGUCCUCAGCUAUUUGCUUACCCCUUCAAAGUGUUGCUGUAAUAUAGUGUAACACAGGUACCAUUGUUCCUCUAAUCUCUAGGAUAAAACUAUUUGAAAACUUCAAAAAGAACACUGAUUUAAAAUAACAAAGCAAAAGCUCUCAAUCCCAGUACACUUUGGGUAAAGAGACAAGUCGAUGUAGGGUUGUUAUCACAAAGUUACUUCCUCUGACUAGUUUUUACAAUGCAUGCCUGUGAUAUAUUGAAUUAUUCAUGUAAUUGACUUCACUAUAGGGUACUACAAGGUUGAAAAUUACCCUAUUACCCUUUUACUUUGAUCUUUAAAUGUUAUUCUUUGUAAUCAUGAGUAAAAAUGCACUUGCAGGAGCUCAGAGUUGGUAAGACCCUUUGGACUAGUUUAUGACCCCUUGCACUAACUUGUGAACAGGAACCUUCCAGUGAUUAAAUUGGGUACAGCUACACAAAGCAGCUUGCUUAGCAAGGAUUUUGGUUUUGCAUGUAGUUUAGAAAAGAGUUACCUGUGCAGCAGCAACCAACAGUAUUGUGUUGACUGUCGUGUACCUACUAAGAAACAAAUUCAAAUAUAUUUAACAAAUAAGAGUUGAAAUUAGAAUUAUGGGUGAGAAAGGAACCACAUAACUAGGCCCAAGAAGAAAACUGUUUCCUUUUCAUAGAACCAUAGAAUACUCACAAUUGGAAGUGACUUUUGAAGGUCAUCCAGUACAACUCCCUGCAAUGAACAGGGACAUCCACAGCUAGAUCAGGCUAGAUCCUGGCCUUGGAAGUUUCCAGGGAUGGAGCAUCUACAACAUCUGCGGGCAACCUGUGCCAAUGCCUCAUGACUCUUACUGCAAAAGGCUUUUUCUUAUGUCCAACCUAAAUCUCUCUUUAAGUUUGAAACCAUUUCCCCUCGUCCUAUCAUCACAAACUUCGAUCAAUAAUCUGUUCCUCUCUUUCCUGUAGGCCACUAUCAGGUCACCUCAAAGCCUUCUCUAGAAUGAACAACCCCAGCUCUCUCAGCCUGUCCUCAUUGAGAGGUAUUUGAUCCCUUGGAUGACUUUUGUGGACUUCCUCUGGAUGUGCUUCAACAGAUCCAUGUCUCUGCACUGAGGACUGCACACCUGGCCACAGUACUCCAGGGGAAAUGUUGAGUCACGACCUGAACCACUGAUUGAGCACCUGGGGAAAGGACCCAGUCAGCCCCAGGAGCACAGGUGAAGGCAGUUCAGAAGGGCUGCAGCCUGGCUGCACCUCUCUGAGAUGCCAUUUAAGGGCUGAUUGCCACUGGAGAUAGAUAUCUUUCUGGAAAUUCCUCCUUGGUGAAGUUUUUCCCCUGUGAAGCUGGAAUCUUCUGAUACAGAGCCAUGGCCUGAAACACUGAUUGAGCACAUGGGAAAAGGACCUGGUCAGCCCUGGGAGCACAGGUGAAGGCAAUUUCUAGACCUCAUUUAAGGGCUGACUGCCCCUUAGGGAGAAUCUCUUUUUGGAGGUUCAUUCUUUGUAGGGUCUAUUCUACAUGCUCUCUGUGAGUCUAUAUCUUCAGUGAUAGGCUCUACAUAAAGCACGCAGCAGAGCUUCCAAGAUCAGAAAUGUCUUGCUGCCUCUGGUAAUAGAAAGAUGGAAGCAAGGUUGAAGCCAAGGCUGACAUUAGAGAUUCUCAUCCCAUUGCUGUGGCUUGGAUGUUCACCAUCUGGUACACUACUAUGGUUAAGGACUUGAGAGCUCCUGCACUCCAG